UUAAAAGUGUCGACGGAGACAAAAAUACUAAGCCAUUAAUCUCAGGGAGCCGUGUUACUGUGAAUCGGUAUUAAUGUAGUAUAUAAUGAUCACUCCUGAACUAUUUUAUUGAAUGUUUGUACAUGUAAAUAAAAUCGGUUGCUCCCGUUAAAAAGGCUAGGGUUAAUUUUGACCUGAUGAGGCAAUCUAUGUAAGUGGGUUGUAAAAUAGAGUGGUACCACGAAAAAUCUUUCGUCUCUAGU
rnacentral:ncRNA from 1 species